GUGAACAAGUAUGAUCUGCAAGAGGAAACCCCAAAAAACCCGGAAUUUAUAAAAAUUUGUGUAUUUAUUCUUACAUGUUUAAACUUCAGUCACCUUCAAAGUACUCUCCAUUUGAAGCAAUAUACCUAUCGAGAUCUUUUUUCCACUGCUCAAAAUAGUUUUUGAACUUAUCAGUUUUGAUGUCUUUUAGUGUUUCUGCCAUAUUUUGUUUCACCUCUUUCACAUCGGCAAACCAUUGCCCUUUGAGGACUUUU